CCUCAUCGGAUGCUUGAUUUCAUCACUCUCGAAUAUAUUUGCCGUGGUAGCCUCUUCAGAUCAAGGCAUCAAUCUUGUCCUUGGGCUGGAGGCAUUCCUCGAUGUCGUGGCCAUAAUCACGAUGGAAGCAGUGGUACUUCCUCUUGCUUCUCCUAUCCAAAGGAGACUUCAUCGGCUCAAGUUGUCAUAAAUACCUUUGACCCUCGAUCUCCAUCAAAAUCUAAGAUCAAAAAGCGCAUCAAUCUUGUCCUUGGGCUGGAGGCAUUCCUCGAUGUCGUGGCCAUAAUCACGAUGGAAGCAGUGGUCCUUCCUCUUGCUUCUCCUAUCCAAAGGAGAUUUCAUCGGCUCAAGUUGUCAUAAAUACCUUUGACCCUCGAUCUCCAUCAAAAUCUAAGAUCAAAAAACAGACAGAGGAGUGUAGCUAUUGAACCACCGGGAUGGACUGUUCGAUUGGUAGCUCUUUUAUGGUCGGAAAGAUUUUCUUUCGACUUGGACCACUAGAGGAUUUUUUCAGUCUUUCUUCUUGUCAGAGAUCUUCUUUCUUUCCACCUGCCUGCGGAGCUCCCGGGUUUCUUCCCUCUGCCGUAUCUCCAGCUUGGACUAGCAGGUCAGCAUAGUCCCUCAAAAACUCUUGUUAGGGAAGAAGACAAGACGUUCAUUCUGCAAUCCUCGCUUGAGCACUGACAUCGCCACUAACUCGUUGAAGUUUCACACCUCGAGCAUGAUGGCAUUGAAGCAUGCAAUGUAUUCACAUAGUGAGUUGGCCUCUUCUUGUUGGAGAGAGAAGACUAUCAGAGUUUCUUGGUUGAGGUCAGCAGUUGCUAAAGUGAGUAACGAACAAUCUACCGAGCUGAUCAAAUGAAUGAAUGGACCCUAGUUGGAGUCCAAA
rnacentral:lncRNA from 1 species